ACUCUGUCCUUUCGCGCUGCACAGAAACCCCGUCCGGAACAUCGACACGACAAACACGAUCAUGUCUGAGAAAGGACAGAAGCAGAAAGGAAGCAGUGAGAGCUGCCAUCACUGCAAGCCAAAGACAUGCGCAAGCAUGGCCGUCCCUCCUGCGUACGCUGACCUCGGCAAUCUGCCAAAGA